AGAAUCAACGCUGGCGGCGUGCCUAACACAUGCAAGUCGAACGCGGUUACCCCGCAAGGGGUAACUGAGUGGCGAACGGGUGAGUAACACGUGGGUGACCUACCUUCGAAUGGGGGAUAACGUCCCGAAAGGGACGCUAAUACCACAUAACAUCCUGCCUUUGAACAGGCGGAGAUCAAAGCCGGGGAUCGCAAGACCUGGCGUUUGAAGAGGGGCCCGCGUCCGAUUAGCUAGUUGGUGAGGUAACGGCUCACCAAGGCGACGAU
rnacentral:rRNA from 1 species